GGAAUCUUCCACAAUGGACGCAAGUCUGAUGGAGCAACGCCGCGUGAGUGAAGAAGGUUUUCGGAUCGUAAAGCUCUGUUGUUGGUGAAGAAGACAUGGGUAGUAACUGAUUUAUGUUUGACGGUAAUCAACCAGAAAGUCACGGCUAACUACGUG
rnacentral:rRNA from 1 species